AAAACUCAUUGCUCUCUCUUAGCAAGACAGCCUUAGGUCAGCAAAAGUAAAUGCAGGGAGGUGAAUUUGUGAAAGGUUUUCUUUCCAGUUGUAGAUAAAGAGUUAUGUUAAUAGACAGCCAGCUAUAGUAGUACCUGAAAAAUUUUGAGAUAACCCACAGCACACUUUAUACUCUGAAACGUAUUAACUUCUGAACACGGCUCAAGGAGGUUCUCAGCUCUCAAUAUCCCCAUACUGCCCAUGAAAAGUAAAUGGCAGCACUCACCCAGAAAGCUGAACACCUGUGGGGCACAGCCCCACUUAUGCAUGGGGGCUAUAACAGGCUGCAUCUGGCCUUGCUUGACUGGUUACUGGAGGGGGAGGCAUAGGGUAGCUCUGAGCCUUGACCAGAAAACAGCUGAUUUGGAGGCUUUGCUUGUGCUGCUUUGGCUUGGAAAUAGGAGGGGUUUACUGGAAGUGAGUGAAGGAAGUGCAUUCAUCAUGAAUGUCAACAGGCAAGUGUGAAUCAUCAAAAGCCGGAUGGUUCAUUCCCCAGAACAGGAAUAUCCAGAAGUGAAUGCUAUUACAUUAUCUAAUGGCAGCCAGCCAGUCAAGAAAAACUAUUGUAAAAUGUUCUGUGAUGACAGUAAGUGUAGCAGUGGAAUGGAAGCGUAGGCUUAGUUUUUGGUAAGAGAUUGUCUUGGCUAGGGUAGGAAUAGCGAGUAUGACAUCAGUUCCUGCUUUUUGGUGCCACUUUGUAUAACUGUUACACGGUGUUUCAGAUUAGGUGGACUGAUUGAAUUCCUGUGAUGGAAGGCUUAUUUUCUGGUGUUGGUAAAUGGAUCUUGGUUGACAUUUUUGUUAUUUAAUUUUAGUUGUGAAGAAUGCCAGAGUAACAGUGAGGGGGGAAAAAAUGUUUGUAAGUGCAGGCAGUGGUAGGCAAAAUGUCUAGAUAUUGUCUUUUGUGUUUUAUCUCUCUGCUCUAGAAGCUGCUUUAGAGCUUGAAAGAUAGUGCAGUCUCCAUAAUCAUUGCUAAUCCAAGAAUACAAUAUGCAGAAAAAUGUUAUUUAUGCCAUGAAAUUUUUCCAAAGAUUAAAAUGUCUUAUGUGCCAGUGCGGCAAUUUUCCCUCGAGGUUCAGUCAGGACUGAAUUUAAAUGGCUUUGAGUCCAGCUAAUUGCAGGCCAGUUAGCUUCAACCACACUGAACCUGGAAAAUUGCCUCUUUCAGGAAGUGGCCAGAUUCAUGCCUAGAAAACCCUACUUGUAUUCUGAUCCAGGGGGUGGGUAUAAAUCUUUAGUAUUCUCAUUAAUCUUUUAAGCUGGUGAACAUAAACAUCUGGAAGCUUGCACUUUCAGAGUUCUGUAACAACAUCUCCAACUGGUUAUUUCACUUCUUUUGUUUAUAAUAUUGCCCUUUUCACUCCCUAUGUAUUAUUCAUAUAUACCUUAAAUUUAAUCACCAACCCACUAAAGUUAAAAUCACACUACACCUGAAAUAUAAACACCAUCACACUGGAGCUGAG
rnacentral:lncRNA from 1 species